UCACAUAGUUUUUAGUUAAGUAAAACUGUCCUUUAUAAACCAACUUGACUUUUAAAAAAGUCAAAAGAGUUGGAAUUGUUGGAAACUUUUUCCUAACGCAAGCGCACUAUUCAUGUUGGCAGCACUGCAGCACAUCUGACCGCUUUCUAUCAAAAUAUCGUAUUUGUGUAUCAUCGAAAAUUCGAUAAUUUCAUUCAGCCACUCCGAUAACUAAGUUUUGGUGAGUUGGUAACACUGACUGACUGUCAACAACUCUAAAGCCUAAAUUUUGAGUCGUUUUGUGUUUAUGUUUUCUACGGUUAUCCUGUUUUGAUUCUGUAAUUUAUUUCAUCAAUUUGACCGAGUCUUAAGGAUAUUACAAAAAAUGGAAAAAACACGAUACGGUGUAAAAACAAGCCUCCUUGAAGAACUAAAAACAUUCCAGAUGAGGUUGAAAAAGCAAAGAAGAAUGAUAUUUAAUAUAACAAUAUUUAGCAAUAAUAUACCUCCCUUGGAAACAACACUGAUAACAGGGGAGGAUACAGUAUCAGUUACUAACAUGACGUUUCCCUCUGUUGUACGGCGACAAGAUUAUAUCGACCGCGGAGAAAGAGAGAUUACAUUAAUUCUUCAUGGAGUAUUGGUAUUAAACAUUCGAUUUGAUUCCAUUGAAGAGAAGAUCAGAUUCCAACAAGAAAUAUCUAGAGAAUGGACCCCAAGUCCUCCAAGGGAAACCUAAAAUAAAAUAAAAUAUAUUUACUUUUUGUAAUGAAUUAAUUAAUAAUUUUGUAAAUAUUUAAAUCAGGGUGUUUUUCCUUAAAAAGUAGCUGUGUGCUGAAGGGGCCUACUAGUACAAAAUUCAAAACAGGGUAAAAUCUUUGAAAAAUGUUAAUUUUAAAAUAUACCUUUAAAAUCGGGGUGUUUUCACGAUAUUUUACGCUUUUCUGUUUACUCUUGAAACUCGGGGUGCUUUUCCUUAAAAAUGUUAAUUUUUUAAAUAUACCUUAAAAUCGGGGGUGUUUUCACGAUA